AGCAGCCGCGGUAAUUCCAGCUCCAAUAGCGUAUAUUAAAGUUGUUGCAGUUAAAAAGCUCGUAGUUGAAUUUCGGGAUCGGUACGCUGGUCGUGCCUCUGGUAUGUACUGGUGUUACUGGUUCCUCCCUUCUGAAGAACUGUCAUGUCAUUAAUUUGGUGUGGCGGGGAAUCAGGACUGUUACUUUGAAAAAAUUUGAGUGUUUAAAGCAGGCUCGCGCUUGAAUACACUAGCAUGGAAUAAUGAAAUAGGACGUUCGAUCCUAUUUUGUUGGUCUCUAGGAUUGACGUAACGAUUAAUAGGGAUAGUUGGGGGCAUUAGUAUUCAAUUGUCAGAGGUGAAAUUCUUGGAUUUAUUGAGACUAACUACUGCGAAAGCAUUUGACCAAGGAUGUCUUCAUUAAUCAAGAACGAAGUUAGGGAUCGAAGACGAUCAGAUACCGUCGUAGUCUUAACCGAUAAACUAUAGACCGACGUAGGGUAUACGGAUGACUUAGUUUAAAUUUUUUAUUAGGUACUUC
rnacentral:rRNA from 1 species